AUUGAACGCUGGCGGCAGGCUUAACACAUGCAAGUCGAGCGGAGAGAGGUAGCUUGCUACUGAUCUUAGCGGCGGACGGGUGAGUAAUGCUUAGGAAUCUGCCUAUUAGUGGGGGACGACAUUCCGAAAGGAAUGCUAAUACCGCAUACGUCCUACGGGAGAAAGCAGGGGAUCUUCGGACCUUGCGCUAAUAGAUGAGCCUAAGUCGGAUUAGCUAGUUGGUGGGGUAAAGGCCUACCAAGGCGACGAUCUGUAGCGGGUCUGAGAGGAUGAUCCGCCACACUGGGACUGAGACACGGCCCAGACUCCUACGGGAGGCAGCAGUGGGGAAUAUUGGACAAUGGACGCAAGCCUGAUCCAGCCAUGCCGCGUGUGUGAAGAAGGCCUUAUGGUUGUAAAGCACUUUAAGCGAGGAGGAGGCUACUUUAGUUAAUACCUAGAGAUAGUGGACGCUACUCGCAGAAUAAGCACCGGCUAACUCUGUGCCAGCCGCCGCCGUAAGAC
rnacentral:rRNA from 1 species